ACGUAGGGGGCAAGCGUUAUCCGGAUUUACUGGGUGUAAAGGGAGCGUAGACGGCACGGCAAGCCAGAUGUGAAAGCCCGGGGCUCAACCCCGGGACUGCAUUUGGAACUGCUGAGCUAGAGUGUCGGAGAGGCAAGUGGAAUUCCUAGUGUAGCGGUGAAAUGCGUAGAUAUUAGGAGGAACACCAGUGGCGAAGGCGGCUUGCUGGACGAUGACUGACGUUGAGGCUCGAAAGCGUGGGGAGCAAACAG
rnacentral:rRNA from 2 species